rnacentral:rRNA from 2 species
CCGGCCUUGAAAUACCACCCUUUAAUGUUUGAUGUUCUAACGUGGACCCGUUACCCGGGUUGCGGACAGUGUCUGGUGGGUAGUUUGACUGGGGCGGUCUCCUCCUAAAGAGUAACGGAGGAGCACGAAGGUUGGCUAAUCCUGGUCGGACAUCAGGAGGUUAGUGCAAUGGCAUAAGCCAGCUUGACUGCGAGCGUGACGGCGCGAGCAGGUGCGAAAGCAGGUCAUAGUGAUCCGGUGGUUCUGAAUGGAAGGGCCAUCGCUCAACGGAUAAAAGGUACUCCGGGGAUAACAGGCUGAUACCGCCCAAGAGUUCAUAUCGACGGCGGUGUUUGGCACCUCGAUGUCGGCUCAUCACAUCCUGGGGCUGAAGUAGGUCCCAAGGGUAUGGCUGUUCGCCAUUUAAAGUGGUACGCGAGCUGGGUUUAGAACGUCGUGAGACAGUUCGGUCCCUAUCUGCCGUGGGCGCUGGAGAACUGAGGGGGGCUGCUCCUAGUACGAGAGGACCGGAGUGGACGCAUCACUGGUGUUCGGGUUGUCAUGCCAAUGGCACUGCCCGGUAGCUAAAUGCGGAAGAGAUAAGUGCUGAAAGCAUCUAAGCACGAAACUUGCCCCGA